rnacentral:rRNA from 1 species
AUUGAACGCUGGCGGCAGGCCUAACACAUGCAAGUCGAGCGGAUGAAGGGAGCUUGCUCCUGGAUUCAGCGGCGGACGGGUGAGUAAUGCCUAGGAAUCUGACUGGUAGUGGGGGAUAACGUCAGGAAACGGGCGCUAAUACCGCAUACGUCCUGAGGGAGAAAGUGGGGGAUCUUCGGACCUCACGCUAUUAGCUGAGACUAGGACGGAUUAGCUAGUUGGUGGGGUAAAGGCGUACGAAGGCGACGAUCCGUAACUGGUCUGAGAGGAUGAUCAGACACCCUGGAACUGAGACACGGUCCAGACUCCUACGGGAGGCAGCAGUAGGGAAUCUUGCGCAAUGGGCGAAAGUCUGACGGAGCAACGCCGCGUGAGUGAUGAAGGUCUUCGGAUCGUAAACCUCUUUUAUUAGGGAAGAACAAAUGUAUAAGUAUCCGUGCCUGUUUUGACGGUACCUAAUAAGAAAGCCACGGCUAACUACGUG